GCGUGAAGGAAGAAGGCCCUCGGGUUGUAAACUUCUUUUAUUCGAGACGAAACAAAUGACGGUACCGAAUGAAUAAGCCACGGCUAACUACGUGCCAGCAGCCGCGGUAAUACGUAGGUGGCAAGCGUUAUCCGGAUUUACUGGGUGUAAAGGGCGUGUAGGCGGGACUGCAAGUCAGAUGUGAAAUUCCAGGGCUCAACCCUGGAACUGCAUUUGAAACUGUAGUUCUUGAGUGAUGGAGAGGCAGGCGGAAUUCCGAGUGUAGCGGUGAAAUGCGU
rnacentral:rRNA from 1 species